UUAGGAAAUUGUCGAGGAGCGACCCGUUUGGGUGUUGACCCAUAGAACUGGAGAAGAAGCGCUCCUUGAGUUCACAGGGCCAAACCCGGAAGGUUCCCAGAAGGAGAAAUAAAUAACGCUUCCACCGUCUGUGGGAUACAGGCACCCAAGCUGUUGAACGUUGGCAAUGACGAGAGACGUUUCCUGUUUCCAAGUGGUGCAGAUGCCCUGCAUGAAAAUCCAAAAACACAAAAA